rnacentral:lncRNA from 1 species
UUCUCAGCAAAAUAGAAAAAUGAAGAGAAAAUGUUAAUUCAUAAAAAAACAACAUUAUAAUAAGAUGAAUCAACUAAUCUAUAUGCCAUUACACACAUUACCGACUUUCAGAAAUUCUAAGUAAGUAAUUGACACUGGAAAUUUAAGGAAGACAGUUUGCAUUCAUGAGAAUUCAAGUAGAUACAACUUCCAUUCUUGCACUUCAUCUCCUAGAGAAUCAGGGAGUACCUGGAGUUUGAAACGCAAUACAGGAGAAGGAUUAGCAGCAAAAGCAAUAGCAAGACAGUGUCCCAACAGCAAAAUAAGCCCAGGAAUAAUUAGUGAGAAACCUUUCUAAACCAAGUUUGGAUUCACAGCCACAACAUCUAAGCCCUAGAUCAAGUUCAAUCUGAACCUGAAACCCAGCCCUCGAACAACAAACAAAUUCAACUCAUUUUUAAGCCCUCAGUUGUUCCAUAUUCAUAUUGUAGUCAGGAUUGAUAGAAUUUCAGAGAUCUUUUCAAUGGAAUAGUAGACCUUAGUGAAUUCUUUCAGAUUGAGCCACUCCAAAUUUGCAGAGUUUUUAAUGCUCCUCCC